UACGUAGGCAGCGAGCGUUGUUCGGAGUUACUGGGCGUAAAGGGUGUGUAGGCGGUUGUUUAAGUUUGGUGUGAAAUCUCCCGGCUCAACUGGGAGGGUGCGCCGAAUACUGAAUGACUAGAGUGCGGGAGAGGAAAGUGGAAUUCCUGGUGUAGCGGUGAAAUGCGUAGAUAUCAGGAGGAACACCGUGGUGUAGACGGCUUUCUGGACCGUAACUGACGCUGAGACACGAAAGCGUGGGUAGCAAACAGG
rnacentral:rRNA from 1 species